CUUCUGCUGUAAGGAGAUAAGAUUAGAAAGUGAGGCUUAGGAAGAGGCUUGCUCUUCAUCAGAGGGAGAGAGGGAAACGUUCUUCGUGUGGUGAAUUCAUGAGGACAUGGCUGGUCCUGUGUGAAGCCAGGAGAUGGCCUCAAUGAUCCUUGCAGAUCCCUUCCAACUCUGGAUAGUCUGUGAUUCUGUGCUUCCACAGUUGUGCUGCUUGGGGACACUGAGCUGCAGCCUCAGGAGGGCAUCAGCAAAGGAACCACUGAGGAGUGUAGAGAAAGCCAAUGGGAGGACAGCAUCAGCUCUGUGUUUCCAGAAGUGCUGAUCAUGCCAAGAAUUCCUGUAUCCUACAAGUUCACUGCAUCCCAAACCUGAGUCAAACACUGAGAGCAAGGAGCACGUUUCCAGGCCAGCCUCUAUAAAUUCAAUGAGCAACUCUUUCUUUGUGCUCAGGCUGAGUAAUCAAGAUGACAACA
ensembl:lncRNA